CGGCGGACGGGUGAGUAACACGUGGAUAACCUACCUAUAAGACUGGGAUAACUUCGGGAAACCGGAGCUAAUACCGGAUAAUAUAUUGAACCGCAUGGUUCAAUAGUGAAAGACGGUUUUGCUGUCACUUAUAGAUGGAUCCGCGCCGCAUUAGCUAGUUGGUAAGGUAACGGCUUACCAAGGCAACGAUGCGUAGCCGACCUGAGAGGGUGAUCGGCCACACUGGAACUGAGACACGGGUCCAGACUCCUACGGGAGGCAGCAGUC
rnacentral:rRNA from 1 species